CCCUUAGAUGUUCUGGGCUGCACGCGCGCUACACUGAUGCGAUCAACAAGUUUUUCCUAUGUCGAUAGACACGGGUAAUCUUUUGAACUCGCAUCGUGAUGGGGAUAGAUUAUUGUAAUUAUUAAUCUUCAACGAGGAAUUCCUAGUAGGUGCAAAUCAUCAGUUUGCAUCGAUUACGUCCCUGCCCUUUGUACACACCGCCCGUCGCUGCUACCGAUUGGUUGAUCUGGUGAAUUAUUCGGACUGCCGGCUGAAGGGGUUUCCUCAUCUGCCAGCGGAAAGUCUUGUUAACCCUAUCAACUAGAGGAAGCAGAAGUCGUAACG
rnacentral:rRNA from 1 species